ensembl:misc_RNA Y_RNA Y RNA
GGCUGGUCCAAAGGUAGUGAGUUAUCUCACUUGAUUGCUCAUAGUCAGUUGCAGAUUGAACUCCUUGUUCUACUCUUACCCCCUUCUCACUACUGCACUUGACUUGACUAGU